rnacentral:lncRNA from 1 species
CAGAGUUCAAUCCCCAGUACCCUCCAGAAAAACAACAGCUUAGAGGAGGAUAGAUUUGAUUUGGCUCACAGUUUCAGCCAGACCCAUUGCUUUGGGCCUGAGGUGAAGCAGAACACCAUGAUGGGACAGCAUGGAGAGGAAAGCUGCUCAGCCCAUGGCAGCUGAGAAGGAGGAAGGAAUGGGGUGGAGAGAGAAAUAGAGAAGGAACAUGCAAGAGGCUGGGGAGAAGAAAAAUCCUUCCAGGGCUGCUUCCUAGUGACCUAUUUCCUCCAACUAGGUCCUACCCCUUAAUAGUCCAUUCAGCCAUCAAAUGGAUUAAUCCACUGGUGAGGUUAGAGCCCUCAUGAUUCAAUCAUUACCUAAAAGCCUAACAUCUGAAUAUACAUUGGGCAGGGGGGCCAUGCUUUCACCAUGAGACGUUGGGGGACACAGCAGAUCCAAACCAUAACAGUCAUCAUUCGGCUUACUACCCCCCUCAUCCCCAACAGUACAUAACAGCUCAUCUUUCCUUCUUUAACCUAUUGUCUGUCACUCUCCAUACCUGAUUUGAGAGUGCACGUAAAGCCAGUAGGACAGAGCACUAAAUGAGUUUAUGAUUCAUGGAAAUGAGCCAAUCUGACUCAUCUGGAUGUUCCAACAUGGAUCCUUAUUUCUAUUAUGUCCUUCUCCUCCCUACAUUUGUGUUUUAAAUGUAUUUGGACAGGUAUUCUUGUUUGUUUUUUGUAUGGGGGAUUAAACCCAGAGGUGCUUAACCAUUGAACUACAUCCUCAGCCCUUUUUCUUUCUUUUAUUUUUUUGAGACAGAGUCUUGCUAAGUUGCUUAAGGCCUUGCUAAGUUGCUGAGGCUGAUCCCAAACUUGUGACCCUCCUGCCUCAGCCUCCCAUGCCACCGGGAUUAUAGGCGUGUGCCACCGCGCCUGGCAAACUUGCUAUUUUUAAUUUUUUAAUUGAUUUUUUAAAAAUAAAUGACAGCAGAAUGCAUUACAAUUCUUUUUUAAUAUUUAUUUUUAGUUAUA